GACAGAGGAGCCAAGCGUUGUCCGGACUGACUGGGCGUAAAGCGCACGCAGGCGGCGCUGUGCGUGGGGUGUGAAAGCUCUUGGCUUAACUGAGAGAGGCCAUCCCAUACGGCAGCGCUCGAGCGGUGCAGAGGUCCGCGGAAUUGCCGGUGUAGUGGUGAAAUGCGUAGAGAUCGGCAGGAACACCCAAGGGGAAACCAGCGGACUGGGCAUCGGCUGACGCUCAGGUGCGACAGCGUGGGGAGCGAACCGG
rnacentral:rRNA from 1 species